CACACUGUAAACGAUGAUAACUCGCUGCCGGCGAUACACAGUCGGUGGCCAAGCGAAAGCGAUAAGUUAUCCACCUGGGGAGUACGACCGCAAGGUUGAAACUCAAAGGAAUUGACGGGGGCCCGCACAAGCGGAGGAACAUGUGGUUUAAUUCGAUGAUACGCGAGGAACCUUACCCGGGCUCGAACGGUGCAUGAAUGUUCAAGAGAUUGGAUAGUCCUUCGGGACAUGUAUCGAGGUGC
rnacentral:rRNA from 1 species